ACGCACCGCAAGGUGAGUGGCAGACGGGUGAGUAACGCGUGGGAACCUUCCCUUUGGUACGGAAUAACUUCGGGAAACCGAAGCUAAUACCGUAUAAGUCCUUCGGGAGAAAGAUUUAUCGCCAAAGGAUGGGCCCGCGUUGGAUUAGCUAGUUGGUAGGGUAAAGGCCUACCAAGGCUACGAUCCAUAGCUGGUCUGAGAGGAUGAUCAGCCACACUGGGACUGAGACACGGCCCAGACUCCUACGGGAGGCAGCAGUGGGGAAUUUUCCGCAAUGGGCGAAAGCCUGACGGAGCAAUGCCGCGUGGAGGUGGAAGGCCUACGGG
rnacentral:rRNA from 1 species